CGCAUGAGAGGGGAAAGAACCUUAUUCUUAACUAUAUACACCAACUUAUUUAUAUUUUUAGAACCUAUAGUUAAACUAAUAAAGUAUGCUGCAUGCUUUAUGGGCACAUCAUUUUGACACUCUCUCAAUUUUUUGGUAGGUCAGAAAAUAGAAAAUACUAUGAAAUUAAGGAAUACAAUGAGCUCCUAAUCCUAUUCCAUUUUGCUUCACAUAAAUUCCAUACAAUAUCUCGAGGAUAAACUAUUGGACCACUUCCUUUUACUAAUUAUCUACUGCUACUAAUUAUUUUAUUUUUUCGUAUCCAUAACAAAACAAAGCAAAUUAUUAGGGAACUUUUUCCGGCCAAACACAGGAUGAUAAGGUGUCACGUGUCAACCGACACCAUGUCAAGAAACUUAACUUUACUGAAAUUUCUUAUCUUAUCUUUUAGGGGCCAGUAAAAUUGAAAUGACAACUUAAUCACAUUGUCUAAUUUACCUAUUGGGCAGAAGAACGUCAUAAUAAUAAUAAAAUUUACAUUCGCUUAGUUCGUAAGAAAGAGUGAUCUCUAUAAAUAGUUUUUUUUUUUUUUGCUGGUUGUCUCAAUAAAUAGCGGUAAUAAGUAAUAACGAUGUGUCACUCCUUCUUAAGGUCUCAUAUUUGCAAGAAGCCAAUAAGUUCACUUUCUUCUUUUUCUUUGGCAAUUGCUAUAUUCACUCCCCUUUUUUACUUUUUCACUUUCCUUUUUAAUUUGUUUUUCAAAAAGUAUAUCUCCCUAUUUACUUAAAAAUGAGAGUGGAUAAGCAAAGAAGGGGAAUGAAUAUAGCAUGUAACUUUUUCUUUUUGUUGGGUUACUCACUUUUUCGGCCUGCCCAAGCAAAAUAAUUGGGCCUAAAAAGUGAUAGCCGAUGAAAAUAGUUUCUCUUGCUAGUUGCUAUUCUCAUCUGCUUAAUUAUUAU
rnacentral:lncRNA from 1 species